rnacentral:misc_RNA from 1 species
GGCGAGGAGGGAAGCCUGCCGCACCAUACCUCAAUUUGCAUCGUCUUACAUUUACAGCUAAUAGGUGAUGACAAGAUAUGACCAUUGUAGUCACCCUACUUUUGCUGAUAAAAGAUUUUAUUUACAACAUAUGAUUUGAUAGACUUUUUCAACUAUGAGCAGUCGUCCAUGAUUGGAAAAACUUUGCUACUAUGAGCAGUCAUUUAAGAUGUAGCUUCCCAUUCUUCUUGUCAUACUCCUGUU